UAUCUAUUACCUCCGUCCCGAAAAGCUUUUCUUCGAUUUGUCGAGAUACAGAUGUAUCUAACACUAAAACGUGCCUAGAUACAUCCGUAUCUAGACAAAUGUAAGACAUGCUUUUUGGGACGGAGGGAGUAGUUU
rfam:Triticum aestivum genome assembly, contig: Triticum_aestivum_CS42_TGACv1_scaffold_707437_T_5BL-0.377552_5DL-0.346515